UACGUAGGGGGCAAGCGUUGUCCGGAUUUAUUGGGCGUAAAGAGCUUGUAGGUGGUUCGGUAAGUCGGAUGUGAAAUCUCCAGGCUCAACCUGGAGGGGUCAUUCGAUACUGCCGUGACUAGAGGUCGGUAGGGGAGUGUGGAAUUCCUGGUGGAGCGGUGAAAUGCGCAGAUAUCAGGAGGAACACCCGUAGCGAAGGCGGCACUCUGGGCCGAUACUGACACUGAGGAGCGAAAGCGUGGGGAGCGAACAGG
rnacentral:rRNA from 1 species